rnacentral:tRNA from 1 species
GCGGGGUUAGUUUAUCGGUAAAAUAACAGUUUUCCAAACUGUGGUGAAGGGUUCGACUCCCUUACCCCGCA